CACCAUGGAUAGAUUGCACGCCCAACAUGCUCAGCAAACCAAUCCUUGUUCCAACCUUCUUCCAUCGGCAAACUCGAACGAAGAACACCGCCAGCUCGCAUUCGAAUGCACCAUCUUCAUCCUCGCCGAAAUCUAACCCCAACUCCGCACGCGCAAAUCGAUACGCGACCAAUCGAAGGAUUCAAAGAAUUGAUACCUCCAUUGACGAACAGGAACACAAUUGCAAUGGAGAAUUCCGACGCAGACUGCAAAGAUUUGGAGGAACAAGUACCUACCGUGUAUUGCGCUGACGUUGAAGAUGAAUAUUAUCUUUUCGCGUCUUGCUUCGAUUCUUGUGGUGAAAUUUGUGCAUUUCCAUUUGCGUGAAUCGCGGCGUGGAUUCUGUUGAUGCAGAACCAAAAUUCUUUGAUGCAGAAUGAUGCAGAGUUAUCCAAAAAUGAUGCAGAAUCGAGAACGAAGAAAUUUGCCCAAGCAGAGUGAAGGGUGCAGAGUGAAUCGCAGAAUGAAAGAGAGUUUUCUGAGAUUAUGACUGCAUGAAGGCCCCACCAAAGAUGGCUUUCCCUUGCAAGAACAAUUGGAUAUUGUAUGGAAUGCAUGGAGAUGGGAGGACGAUGAAUCAUUUAAGUUGAAUUAGAUAGUGUUGACCUUGGUCUAACCACAAAAAUCUUCAAUUUUGUAAAUAUGUUAUGAAUAAUGUGAAUCUUCAAUUUUUAUAAAUAUGUUAUGAACAAUGUGAAUCUUUGAUUUUUAUAAAUAUGUUACGAACAAUGUGAAUGGAAA